UGUGGGUGUGACUUUUCCACUGCUGCAGAGCGAGACUAGCAGGUGCUGCUUCACCCGUUGCUGCUCAUUUUAGCUCAUCAGGAGGCAAUAUUUAAGGAGCGGCAGAACUAGAGAGGAAUUGCCAGAUAUUUUGAUUCUCCGGAGUCUUACACAGCUUCCUGGAAGCCACUUCUCUACCUGUCUGCCCUCCAUCACUGACAGCCACAGGACUUAUCGAGAAACAACUUAAAAAGGAAGAAUACAAACCCCAUCAUGCCCUUUGCUAACCUCAGCCACACAGUACCGACUCUUCAACGAUCUACCAUCAUUUCACCAAGAAAGACUAAGAAAAACAAUAACAGAAAGAUUCUCCUCUUCUGCACAUUUCCAUCCUCACACCAGAACCAGACCAAUCUAUCCAUCCUUCCCUCUUGCCACCUGCACAGAGAAGCUCCUGUGGAUCAAGAAGUAAAAACAAAGUAUUAUUUUUACUAUUAUUUCUGUCAGUAAUAAACUCUUUUAUUUGA